UUUACAGGCAGGUUGAGCGGUAAAGCUUGAUUUAGGCUCGAGUCUCACAAUAAUAACAUUAAUGGGAUUUGGUACACACAUAACGUGAGAGGAGGAGCUGCCUCACAGGAUUUGAGUGCCAGUAGAGACAAGGAGUCAGGACAUUGCUACUUUUAUUUAUUUAAAGGAUCUGAAGACUUCUUCACCAUUUUCAACAGAGAGGGCCCUUCCUGAACAAACCAGCCACAGAUACCAGCCUGCACAGCACAGCAGCCCAGCACAAACAGCCAGCUUCCAGGGCCUCUUAGUAUAUGGAGUGAGAUGAACAUGAUAAUGGAGAGGGCCACUGUUUGGAAAAUGGAGGUGAGGGGCAGCUGAAGACGACACACCACGUCCCCUGGCUGGCCCAGGAAGAGCAGCAGACUGAGGCAAGCUCCCAUCAGGCUUAGCAGA